GCUGGCGGCGCUAGGAGGAUUCAUGACUUCACGUGGUGGCUGCUAGGUUUAGCUGUUAGGUUUAGUUGGGCCGUGCUGGGCCUGGCUGGCCUGGCUAGGAUAGAUAACAGGUCAGUGGGCUAUGCAAAUGAAAGAAAUACGUGGUGUAGUGCUAUUUCUACUGCCAUGGGCCCAUGGCGACUUGGGGCGACUAUACAAGCCCUAGUCGCUGAGUCAAGUCACCAAGUCACGAGUCUCAGCCUCAGCGACUUGACUUGACUCGGCGACUCAAAAAUCAUGUUUCUACUGCACUUUAUCUUUCUGGUGCUGCUGGUAUUGCCAGUACGGCCACUGAUGGCGUGGAGUAUUAUGAGUUAGUUGCUGGCUGUUCAUGGAUUGCUAUUCAGGCAAGGGGCCGAGUUGCUGGUUCACUGGAUGAAUAUACAGAGUGGUUGUUCAUUGUGGGUUUAACAUCAGCACAUCAUGAAUUCCACGUUGUUAUACUUCUCUUAAUAUUUGAAUAAAUUUAGUUGCUGCUACAUUUGUUCAUACGUGAGAAUUGAUGGUUCACUAAAAAGAUACAGAGUGGUUGUUCAUUGUGCUUCAAACAUGAGUUUAACAUGAAUUUAAGAUGUUAUAGUGCUCUUCUUAUCUGAGUAAUCUAGUUGCUGUCGCAGAUGUUCAUAUCAAUUUACGGAUUUGCUGGUUGAUUGAGAAUUUUUUUAUGUCUUAGUCACCCAAGAAAAAAGUGCAACCAUAGUGUAAAAAAAAGUGCAAUUUGUUUCCAGUUGCACUUUUCUGGCAGUGCAAGUGUAACGAUUUGCACUUUUUCUUAAACUGCGGUUGCACUUGUUCUCAGGCGACUGAGACUUGACAAACCCAUCAAUUUAUACGGAGGCCACAUUGCAUUCAGGUUUCAGUUUGCUGCUGACUUGCUAUAUGCCUGUAUGCAAUCUAUGUUUACCUGUUGUCUGUUGGAUACCCAGCAUUGCCGCGGGCAUGUUAAAGUGAAAGUCCUGUAAGUGAAUCCACAACAGCCGAGGCAAUGUCGAUAACCCCAGCAGGUGCUGCUGGUAUCGCCAGUAUGACCACUAACAGCGCUGAGUGUGUGUUGCUGCUAGCCUGUCAUGGAUUGCUCUUCAGGCAAUGCGCGCUUGCAGCUGGAAAUGCAUGGGUUUCAGAGUGAGAGAGUUGCUCAUUCACUGAUAGAUGAUAAAGAGUGGUUUCUCACUGUGGGUUAAACGUCAGUACAUCCGGAUUUCACGAUGUUAUAGUUCUCUUCUGAUUUGAAUAAAUAUAGUUGUUGUCACAUCUUUUAAUAUCAAUUUAUACCGAGGUUACAUUGUGUGCAAAAGUUUCAGUUUGCUACUGUGUAUAAUCUAUGUUUAUUUGUUGUCUGUUGAUACUCAGUUUUUUGAUGAAAAGGGACCUGCCCCUGCUUCAUUAACGGAACAUAGAGUUUUGCUACAACAUCGAAACAGAAUAAAAGGAAAAUCAGUCUCUAAUCAGACUGUCUGCAAAGCUCAACUUCAUAUUACAGUCCACUCAAAUGGAGGAACCUGUGUAUAACUUGAAGGAUUGGCUCUCAGCCAAGCGUAUGCGUGUGUUUGCUGAUGCACUCCUGCCGCCUAAGUGAGCAGCUACAUAAUAAUGUUUUUGUGUUUUUAUUUUGUAGCAAAAUGUUUUUCUAUUGUUGCUUCUUGGUUCCUGCUAUGCAGCUUUUCCCAUAGAAUGUGCUUUCUUAUAUGUUUAUUUGUUUACUGAGCAGAGCUUUAAAACGGAGAAACCUGUAUAUAACUUGAAGGAUCGGCUCCUCAGCCAAGCGUAUGCGUGCGUUUGCUGAUGCACUCAUGCGGCCUAAGCGAGCAGUGAUUGCAUUUAAAAUUAUGUUGAACGUUUCUUCAUUCUGAAUGCCAAAUCUGCUUCUUGAAAUUAUUGUGACGUACACAAGCCAGGAGCUGCAGGAGUUCACUUACCAUGGCAAAAGGAUUGUGUUCACUGCUGAUAUAGUCAGGAAGGUGUUCGAUAUAUCAUCAGGUAACAAACAUGUGGACUUGAUCAAAAAAGGUGAUGCUUGCGAGCUCCGUGAUGUCUAAAAGCAGGGUAACCCAAGGCGGCCUAUAAGAAAGGUUGAGAAGGUGUUGCUUGCUUGCGAUGAUAUAAUUUUUUUUUUUGGAUAAGUGGGCCUUUGCCUUUCCUUGGUAUCAUUUACAUGGAUCAUUUGGAGUUCCCACCUAAUGAUUAUGUCAUAGACUGCUCGCUUCGAAGAGCUUUGUCCUAUAAAGAGCAAAGACUUCGACUUUGUAGUUGCUAUUGUCAUUGACAAGAAAAAAUUGUGCAAUACGACUAUCUUCGUGAGGCGACCCUUUCUCCUUUUGUCCAAGACUGUGCGGGUAAGGCUUGCCACUAACACCUUCCCCAGACCCCGCACAGUGCGGGAGCUCUCAGCAC